GGCUAUGCAAAUAGGAGUGUUACACCUUAUCCUCUUUCCAAUAUAACAUGUAAUUAUUAACACAUGCAUCAAUUUUUUUAUAUGAGAGACUAAGAUCCUAAAUUACCUUCUUUGCAUCAUAAUAUGAAUCUUGCAAAUUAAAUCCUUUAAAUAAUAAUUCAUCUUUCAAUAAUUACAAUGGCAUAGUAAAUGACUCAUUACUCCAUCCACAAAUGCUCUUGAUAUGGAGCAAUUUGACUAAGCAAGAUAACUUUGAGCUCUUAGAACCUUGGUAUAAUGGCUACUCAAAAUCUCUUAAUAACCUAUAGAAUU
rnacentral:misc_RNA from 1 species